GAUGAAGAACGUAGCGAAAUGCGAUAAGUAAUGCGAAUUGCAGAAUUUCCGUGAGUCAUCGAAUCUUUGAACGCACAUUGCUCCCACUGGUAUUCCGGUGGGCAUGCCUGUUCGAGCGUCAUUAUCCUCCCUCAAAACUCUUGUUUUGGUGUUGGGCCACGUUGGUCACCUCCGACCAACGGGCCUCAAAGACAAUGACGGCGUCCGUGGGACCCUCUUCGCAGUGAGCUUUGAUUAGCGCGCGUUGAGUCUAAAAGGACCUUCCGGGCCGGCCACCUUUAUCUAAUUUACAAGGUUGACCUCGGAUCAGGUAGGAAUACCCGCUGAACUUAAGCAUAUCGAUAAGCGGAGGA
rnacentral:misc_RNA from 1 species